GAUGAACGCUGGCGGCAUGCCUAAUACAUGCAAGUCGAACGGUAACAGGUCUUCGGAUGCUGACGAGUGGCGAACGGGUGAGUAAUACAUCGGAACGUGCCUAGUAGUGGGGGAUAACUACUCGAAAGAGUGGCUAAUACCGCAUGAGAUCUACGGAUGAAAGCAGGGGAUCGCAAGAACUUGUGCUACUAGAGCGGCCGAUGGCGGAUUAGGUAGUUGGUGGGAUAAAAGCUUACCAAGCCGACGAUCUGUAGCUGGUCUGAGAGGACGAUCAGCCACACUGGGACUGAGAAACGGCCCGGACUCCUACGGGAGGCAGCAGUGGGGAAUUUUGGACAAUGGGCGCAAGCCUGAUCCAGCAAUGCCGCGUGCAGGAUGAAGGCCUUCGGGUUGUAAACUGCUUUUGUACGGAACGAAAAGCCCCGGGUUAAUACCCUGGGGUCAUGACGGUACCGUAAGAAUAAGCACCGGCUAACUACGUGCCAGCCGCCGCGGUAA
rnacentral:rRNA from 1 species